rnacentral:ncRNA from 1 species
CUAAAUUCAUUGACGGAGACGGUUGCUUUGAUAUAAUUGCUCCCAGAGAGACGGCACUUGGUGUAAGUCGUCAGCAAGAUCACAGUACAAAUCACUCCUGAGAAGUGCUUCUGAAAACAGUAGGUAGCACCGGCUGAUCUCGUUAUUGAUUCAGGUUUGUCCGAUGACUAAAAGUGCUAAGACCCCCACUUCUAUAAGUGGAAUAAGCACUGUAAAGUCCCUGGAUAACGGUUUCUAAGAUUCAGAUGGCGUUUCAAACACCACCUGAACCCAAGAAUCCUGUUGAUUAGAACCGGCAAAGUGGCCUUUUUUAGGCAAUUAGAGUGGUACCGCGGAUUUUCCGUCUCUGUU